UACGGAGGGUGCAAGCGUUAUCCGGAUUCACUGGGUUUAAAGGGUGCGUAGGUGGCUUUGUAAGUCAGUGGUGAAAUCUCGGAGCUUAACUCCGAAACUGCCAUUGAUACUGCUUAGCUUGAAUCAAGUAGAGGUGGAUGGAAUAAUACAUGUAGCGGUGAAAUGCUUAGAUAUGUAUUAGAACACCGAUUGCGAAGGCAGUUCACUAUGCUUGUAUUGACACUGAGGCACGAAAGCGUGGGGAUCAAACAGGAUUAGAAACCCGGGUAGU
rnacentral:rRNA from 1 species